rnacentral:rRNA from 1 species
GACGAACCGAGCGAACGUUGUUCGGAAUCACUGGGCUUAAAGGGCGCGUAGGCGGGUAUUCAAGUCUGUGGUGAAAUCCGGCAGCUCAACUGUCGAAUUGCCGCGGAUACUGGGUAUCUCGAGGGAGGUAGGGGCGUGCGGAACUAAUGGUGGAGCGGUGAAAUGCGUAGAGAUCCGGAGGAACACCAGUGGCGAAGGCGACACGCUGGGCCAUACCUGACGCUAAAGCGCGACAGCAUGGGGAGCAAACGGG